CCUCUGGGCCCACACGGUCCAACAGACGGGCCACCCAGCCCUUUAUGGAGAAAGCUCGCUAACCUGUGCGCUACCAUAAUGCUGUCCUCUAGAAGUUUCUAGCACUGUGGAAGCAUCCCCUAUCGAUGCUGUCUAACGCAGGGGGCACUCACCACCCAUCCCUAGAAAUGUGGCUAAUGCAACCGAGGAGCUACGUGGUUUUGUUUGAAUCCAUCUCGGGCUAGUGGUUACCUCGUGCCACGUAUAGCCUACAUCUAGAAGGAAACGCCUGUCUGGAACCUGGAGCUCCUCAGCCGACAGCACCCUCCACAUGGACCCCAGGACAGGCCUGUUGUGGCCCGAGAGGCAGGAUCUGUGACGGUUUCCUACCAGGUCGCUGGGCACCUGAGGACCUACAAGGAGAUAGUGAUCGGUGUCCCUCAAAGGAUCGUGGCCCGUCCCAUCCACCCAGGCCAGACCAGCUUCCAGGAGGCCUCCAAAGUGACCGUCACCGUGGGAGACAGAGGCUCUAACCU